rnacentral:lncRNA from 1 species
UAAUCCAAACACAGUCUAACCUAACCGUGUCAAAAUCCAUAAAAACACUCAACCAAAGAGUGAUUGGGCUCAUACGGAUUUUUAUUUCUUCUUCAUUUUUGAGGCGUUUUCCUAAGACCGAUUGGCAAUUUUAUUUUUGCUCCCCCAUUUUGGAAGGCAUGAAAUAAAGGCUCAAUAACACAAAUUUCCAACAUCAUUAACAGUGUGGAUUCCUCACUGGAUUAAACUUCAAAUGCAAACAACCAUCACGAUCAAAAGGGCAAAAAGACAGACAAGUAUUAUAUACAAAAAUGGGGAUGCAGAAAGUGGCUCCAACAUAACGUACCACACAUUCCACAAGUGCACAAAAUAAGCAACAAUGAAAGACCACUUUUGAACUAAUAGAAUUUUUUUUGUUCGGUAAACCAUUUUUUAAAAAAAUAAUUAUUUUUUUAUAUUUUCAAAUUACACAAAUCAAUAAAAACUAAAAAAUUAUAAAAUUUUGAUCCAAGUUUAAAGAAAAUCAUUAAAAAUGAGAAAAAAAACCUUUUUUAAUCUUAAAACAUAUAUUAAAGUAUUUGUCAUAAUUUAUGAUUCUAUUUAUGUGCCAAAUACAACAUAAAAAAUGUAAUAAUUAUUUUUUUUUUAAAAGCUCCAUUUUGACACAUUUCAUCUUUUACUUUGAAUAAUCUAUUUUGAAUAGCUAUUCACAUACAUUAUUUUUUAAGUGUGUACUGUAUCCACUCCAAAUGUAUAACAAAUAUAUGAAACAUGCACUCACAAUGGACCAUAGUAUUGAUAGAAAAUAAAAUAAUUUCAACAACUUAUAUCUCCAAAAGUAAACAGCUCGAUGAACAAUUUUACAGUAUCGAUAUACUGACAAACCUAAAAAGCAUAGUUAUAAAAAUUGGAUCGGAUCGGACGGUUCGACUGAUUGGAGAAACAGUCUGAUCACCCGUCAAAACUCGUUUUGAUCAAAAACCUGGUCAAACUCAGUUAACCCGACGAUUGAACCGGUCAUUGACUAGUCGGUUCACGAUUUUAAAAAAUAAUUAUAUUUUAAUUUUAAAAUUUUAGAUUUUAAGUAUAAAAAUUAGUCUAGAAAAAUAAAAAAAAAUUUUAUUACUAUUAAUAAAUAAAUGGGUAAAUUACAUGACCUCCCCUGGGUUUUAGGCUUAAUACACAAAGCACCCCUAACGUUUGAAAAAUUAUAAUGGACCUCCCGACUGAGGUUAGAUUUAUUCAAUGACACCCCUGUCAGUUUAUCUCCCACUAUUGCUAUAAAAUUUACUAAUUGCCCAUCACAACUAUUGGACAUUACUCUCUCUCCUCUCUCUCUUGCCUUUUUUUUAGUUUUGUUCCUUUUUUAGUUUUUUAAUAAUUUUUUAUUUUUUUAUUAAAUUCAAUUUUUUUAUCAGUUUUAUUAUUUUUCGAUAAAAAAGUUUUUUUUAAAGACGUUUUCUGAAAAAAUAUUUUGUUUUAAAAACUAUUUUAAUCAGAAAAAGAAGAUUUAAAAAAAAGUUUUGAAAUAUAUAUUUUAUUAAAAAUAAUUUUUUUAAAAAAAUAUAAUAAUUUUUCUUUUAUAAUAUUUAUUUAUAUUUCUUAUCAUAUUAAAUAAUUAAUUUUUAAUUAUUAGUGUUUUUUUAACUAUUUUGACUAAAAUUUUAAGCUUUUGAUUUCUCUUAACGAGAUUAGACUGACAAGUGUGAUUUUUUAUUUAAUUUUCAAAAAAUAAUUUAUAAAAAUAUUAUUUUCUAAAAAAAAAAAACUAUUAUUUUAAAAAAUUAACUUUAUUUUUUAUAAAAUCUCAAAAUGUUAUAUUUUUAAAAAUAUUAUCAAUAAAAUAUAUAUUCAAAUUUUUUUUUAAUAUUGGUUUUUGAUUAAAUAUUUUUAAAACAAUAUUUUUCAGAAAAACGUGUUAAUUUUCAAAAAAAAAAAUGUUUAUCCAAAAAAAAUUAAUUAAAAACUUCUUUCAAUAAAAAUUUUAAAUAAAUUAUUUAAAAACUAAAUAAAAAAAAAAACAAAAAAACUAAAAAAAACGAAAGAGAGAGAGAGGAGAGGAGAGAGAGAGAGAGAAAGUGUGAAUAGGUUGUGAGGAUAAAUUUGUAAUUUACAAGCAAUUAGUGGGGACAAAAAAAUUUGUGGGGUGAAUGGGGAUCAGAGUAACAUAAAUCGAAACUCAGGGAGGUCAUUGUAAUUUUUCAAACGUCAGAGAGAUUUACUUUGUGUAUUAACCUGAAACCUCAGGGGAGGUCAGUGUAAUUUACCCUAAAUAAAUUAAUGACACGUCAAUAACGGUUAACCUGAUGAUUAAACCGAUAACCCGUGAUCUGAUUAUUUUUCCAGUUCGAUCACCAAUCCGAGUUUCAAAACACUUCUAAAAAGGCGAAAGUUGGAUCACAAGCAGUCUAGCCUAGAGAAGCCAGAAGCCCCUAUAGGAAACAAUUCUGGAAAGAGUGGUCGUAAAAAAAUUAAGCAAUCUCACUAUCGGGUUCAAUCCGUCAGUUCAUCAUGCGGUCGGAGAUGAAGAAACUGGCCGCCAUUUACUUGGUACGGUGCUCUUUUUGGGCAGUAACCCUGAAGUAACAAAGGGCGGUGUUAGAAUGGGCGCGCCGCCGGGUAUUACCACGGGCGCGCCUACAGUGGCGAUCUUCCAGCCACCCAUUUGGGGGUGGGGUCCCACUAUUUUUUAUUUUUAUUUUUAUGUGGGACCCACCUCCCAAAUGGGUGCUGGGGAAGCUCGCCACGUAGGCGCGCCCGGUGGUAAUACCACGGCGCGCGCCCAGUCUAACACCGCCCGCAGUAACAAAACCCCCAAAGUGAGACAAAACUCCCAAAGUGAAAGCAAAUUAGAGAAUUGUUUGAAUGAAAAUGCAACAAUCCCAUAAUUCAUAAAGAAAACUUACGUUUUUCGUAUUUUUUUCACAAGUAGAUAGAUUGUUUCUUUUUGGCUCAUUGUGUGGGACUGACAGAUGCAAUCGGGGCUCGUGGCUUAACACGGCUGCAAAACUCUCUCACACGUCUCACCUCAAUCUUAGAUUCUUAGACUUCUACGUUUUGGGGUCAGUAAAAUGAGUAGACUGUGCGUAUGGGUGUAUGCCGAUCAUUACCGGAGAGUGACGUUAUUUUGAAGCUUAAUUUAUUUAUCAAAAUCAUCAUUGUCUUGUUUUGGAGAUAACCUAUGGGAAAUGGAUGCAUCCUACCUGUCUUUUCUUUUGUCGAAGAACGGUGAAGUGAGGAUCUUCUUGUAAUUGGUAUAUCUGAAACACACAAAAGUCCCCACAAAAAAAUGGUUAAUGGGCAAGUUUUGCUGACCUCUUUAAUCAAUCUUUAGAUGACAAAGCAAUUACCGGAACCAGUAGCUUGAGGCCGAGAUAGAAGAUGUUCUUGGGUAGGCUUAGGCAGAUCAAAACACGAGCAGGAGGGUACAGAAUCACUAAGCGUGCUAAUUUCUACUUGUGGGGUUGAAAGAAAGGCACUGGAAAUAGGAGAGCUUUCAUUACUGGCUAAGAGCAUGAGUUCGUUAUCUUUGUCAGCUGGAACAUUAUCAAAAACCAUUAUCGUCCCCCGUAAAAUAUAGUCAUUUGGGCGGCUUUCGGCUCUCUGUUUCCAUGGCUGCCGGUUGGCUGAUAACACGAAACGAAACAGAGAAUUAGGUAUAGUUGAUGCAAACAAGCAAAUAAGUAGAUCAUCUGCAUGAUUAUUCUGAUCUUAUUAUGCCCUUCAACUCUUUCGGAAUCGACUCUAUUUGGUUGUUGUUUUCAAAAUCAAAUUUUCAAAACUCCUUUUAGGAACUGUUAUUAAUAACAAAGGCCGUGUUGGGUUGCUGAGUUCAGAAUAAAUUUUUAGAAGCUACUUUUGAAAACUAAAAACUCAUCGUUUUAAUAUCUUAUUUAUUCUUUAUGGAAAAAUUGGUUCUAUUCCAUGAAAUUCCUUGAAACAAAAUUUGGUCAACUAUAACAACUUUUGAGUAUUUCAAAAAAAAAAAAAAAGUAAAGCAGAAACAAAAAAAAAACCACAUUUUCAUUUGGGUGCAUAAUAGAUAUUGAGAAAGACAACAGACCUGGAAUUAGAUGGGUCUGGUGAAUCUAAAUCUAUGAUACUGGUCCUGGAGCAACCAACCGGCCCAGCAUGCUGAGGAAAGAGAUCCGUAAAUCCAUUCCGUGCCGAUGUCUCACCGGUUUUUUUCCUGUCUACGGAAACAAAUCUCUUGUGAUUUUGGGUCUCCCUGAAUCAUGCCCAAUAUAGGAGUGGUUAGAUUAGAAUUUAGGUGUCACAAGAAGAAGAUAAGAACUCAAAAAGCAGUACUUGAAUGUGGGGAUUAAAACUAAAUUAGCUAAAAAUAAGAUUGAUCAGAGGUUGAAUUGUCAUGAGCACUUGUCAAUAGAGCUUUAUUGUGAUGAUGAUCUAUCCUAAUUUCCCACAUCGGUUAGGAUGGGCUUGGCGAUUGGGCACCUUCGCCUUAUAAGUCGUUUUUCAAGAUAAGGUCGAACUAAGAUUUUUAUGUGCCGGCGGUGUAGUAUAGUUGGACUAUAGAGAUAUGCAUGCGUCUGGUUAGGCGAUUUGGACUCCCCGGGUAAUUGGGUGGGCUAGAAAUAAAUUUGCAAUUUGAGUCACUUCAACAGCAUAAUAUACGAAAUGGCCAAUUAUGGAAAAUCUUUGCUUUUUUUCAGGUAGAUGCUUAUGGGAGGGUCGGGGACUUCCGAAUUUUUUUAUUAUGUUCGGGCAUAUGUAUUGUAUGUGAUCGGGUGCGUUAUUGCACCCGAUGUGUCUGGUGCUCAAGUUUCGGUUUGAGAAGUGAAGAUUGGAUAUUGAAGGGGGAUCGUUCCCUGGUUUCUAUGAUCUCCUCUUCUUCUUUUUCAAUCUAUUCUUCUUCUUUAUCUUCUCUUCUUCGUGCUUCAUCAUCAAUUCUCAAAUAAAAGAGAUGAACUAGUCGUGAGUGGCUUGCGACCGUCUGAACACUAUUCAAUAAAAAAAACUUUUUUCUUACACAAGUACCAAUACUAGUCUACUAGAACAUAUUAGAAAGAUUAUUUGUACCUUUGGGCUCCAGUUUCUCGGCAAUUUGAAGCCUAGUAGAUCUUUUAGGCUUCCUUUUUCCUCGAAGGUGUACUUGGGGCGACUCUUUUCAUCUCCUCUGUCCCCUACGAUAUAAAAAUAAUAAAAUUAUGUUAAGUCAAAUAAAAUAGAAAAUAAACAACACAAGAAUAUAAGAUAUAUGUGGCUGGACUCAAUCAAUUCAUUCAAUAAAAGAGUACAACUUAUAAUAAGACAACACAAAGUUACCUCUCUUCACCGCCAAUAAUUUAUACUAAGACCCUUACUUAGAUGUAGUUGAACUCAGGGUGAAACUUGAACACUAGAGGCACUCUUAUACAAUUUUGUCUCACUCACUAACUAAGUGUAUCACUCUUAGAUUUUUUGUUGGCUUUCUCUCUUGUUUCCAAAACACAAGAGUUUAUUUAUAUUUAUAGGUACAAUGGAAGCACUUAGAACUCUCUCAAAUAUUCUUCCAAUACAAGAAUGAAUCACCAGAAUCUUUUAGGUUAAAAUAGAACAUUCUCUAAUCUUCUAAACUCUUUUCUAAUCUUCUAGAUUCUUCUAUAAGUUUCUUCAGUCUUCUAAUUCCCUCUAGAAUGUUCCAAAACAUUCUAAACUCUUCUGGAAUUCUCUAAGCUUCUUGAAGGUUCCGAAUUCUUCUAGAAUAGUCUAAAAUCUUCCAUCAUAUUUUAGAUUCUUCCGGAAUUCUUCAGGCUUUUUGAGGGUUCCAAAUCUUUCUAUAAUGGUUUAGAACCUUUCACCGUAUUCUUAGACUAUUCCAGAAUAUUGAGGCUCCGUUUGGUAAUGCUUAAAAAUCAAGUUUUUUUUAAACUUACUAUCAAAAAAAUCAAGAUUUUUUGAAUUUUUUGCUUUUCUAGCUAUACUUUAGAUAAAAAUAAGUAAAUAAGUAAAAACAAAAAAGGCAAAAAACCAACUCUGACUGACUUUUUUAUUUAUUUUAAGUAAAAAAGUCAACCCAAAAACUCAAAUAAACUGGUUCUAAACUGAGCCUGAGCUGGAUACCAUAAGAAUACUGACCCAGCCUAUUGUAAGUCUGCGCAAAAUUAGACUUCUCCGGCACCUUGCCGGAACUCCGGCGAUCGGAAUAUUCCUGUGUACUUUACAUGCCUACCAAUGCAAUUAUGCACCAGAUACUACAGCUUUCAAAAAACUUUAUUUGGGUUACAACACGUGUUCAUUAAGUAGAGAAAAAAAUAGGAGAAGAUAUAGGCUCUGUUUGAUAACCGGGUUAGGGAGGGGUGAUUGGGAUUAAGAGUCCGUGGAGCCCCUAAUCAUGUGUUUGAUUUGGCCAUCAAUGGCCAGACUAAUAGUCCGAUCGGACUAUUAUUCCCCCAAAUGGUAGUGUUGCUAAUCCCAUGGGGUGGGUUGGAUUAACAUUCCCCCUACUCCUAUGUCUCAAAUUGACAUUUUUACCUUUGAUAUUUGUAUAUUUGUGUAAUUAAAGGGUAAAUAUGAAAUUUUAUGAAAAAAAUUCAUGAAUUUUUGGACACUAUUAACCACAUUACCCUUGAUAUUUAUUAAUCUCACUGUCUAAUCACGUGCAAACCAAACACUCCGAUCGAAUUAUUACCCUCAUUAUUAAUCAUUACUCAUUACUAAUUUACCAAUUCUUUCACAAUUAUCAAACGAGGCGAGUAAUGAUUUGAAUAUUCAAAACAGGGGUUGGAACUUGUAAACUUGGAACUUGGAACUUGGAAGUGUACAUCAGUGUGUACGAGCAUUCCAGGUGCAACACCACGAGCCACAAAAUUCAAAGAUGCUCUGCAUUUGUUCAAUUUACAAAAAUGCCCUUCCAUGGUAUGCAACUCGAAGGUUUGUUAAUUAGCAUUGGGUCCCUACGCAUGUAUUUAUACAAUUUUCAUUAAAAGUUCAUGAAAUGCUGGGUUUUAGGCGAUAUCCCAAAACUUUUUAAUUCCUAUUAAUUACCAUGCAAAGUGUAGUCACAGUAUAUCUACAAAAUAAUUCAACCAAUAAUUAUAGGUGAUGUAGUAAAAUGGAUAGGUUGAUUACUUGGUUUACUGACUUUCGCAAAAUAUAUAAUCUUGAGGAUGAUGUUAAUGAUACAAAUAAAUUUAUCAUUUACAUGUUAUGUACGAUUUGUUAGGUAUGCAUAGAUAGAAAAUCCUGUGCGAAUUAAAAAAAUUCUUAAAAAUCAAGUAUUGAGUUUUGUGAGAGGGGUUAAUUUUUCUGCUAUAUUUUUAUGAUCUUUUGGUUUUGACUUAAGGAGAAAUGGCAAGUUUACCAAACAAAUGUUUAGUGUUUACCUAUUUGAACCAAUAGCACAUUUUUUUUAUAAGAGAACACUUCAACUAUGAAACCAUUCCUUCGGACAUAAAAUCUGAAUUAGGUUAGAUAAUUUUGGAUCUAGUUUGUAAAUUAUGUAGUAACAUUGAAUGCCUAUCAGAAUUGUCUCUUAAACAGUGUUAACAUAUGCAAUGUGUCACAAUUAUUUAAUUGUUUAAUUUGAGUAAGUUGUGUUGGCUUAGACUUCCUAAAACACAUAAUUAAGAUUUUGAAAUAUUAGAACAUGACAUCAUCAAAAUCUGUCUCUCCACUAACAGAGUUAAAGUGAGGAGGGAAUUUCUAUAGUUUUUAUUUCUAAAAACUCAAGGGAGUUUUAUGGUAUUUCAGAAAUACUAAGGGAGAUAAGUGUAGUUUGUCAUCGUGGGGGCGGCUAGCUAUGUUGUGCGCAGGGUCAAAAAUGGGAAUUUGCUUGACGAAUGUGAUUCUAGUUUCUUCUCCGUGCUGACAAGUGACAAGGACCACUAGCGGCGGGGCCCACAAUUUAAAGCGUACACGACUUCACGUUUCUCCGCAAUCGAAGCGACUUGUACAGUAACCUAGGAUUUCUUGGGUGCAAGCAUAGGGCUCAUAAUUUUUGGGUAAUGUUAUGGUUACCUCAAACUUACAACUUAAAUGCACAUCUAACGAUGUGGUACAUUUAGAUUGGCUGAGUGUUAGUUGAAAGGACUGGGUAAAUCUCACACUCAGCUAAUUCAAAUACAUACCUCACCAUCUCAUCAAGUGUGUAUUUAAAGUACAAAUUGAGUGUAUCCAUAGCAUUUCUCAUAAUUUUUAUGGUUUGAAAAUUUAACCAAAGAAAAAAGAUUUUUUUUUCUCAAAAGAAUUCAAAAAAUUAUGAUGAUUGAGAUACUCUAUAAAUUAUCACAUAAAUUAUUUUAAUAAAAAAAUUUUAUUAUGUGUCAAGUGUCCAAACAAAUAGGAAAAUAAAUAAACUCAUAAAUAAAGAUGCUAUGCAGUCUACUGAGUCUAGUUACAAGAAUUAGAGAGGAAAAUAAUUUUGCCCAAAAAAAAUCAACAAAUUUUAUUGAAAUAUAUAUAAAAAAAUAUUAUUUGUUAUAUCAAAAUAAAAAUUAGGCAAUAAUAUUUUCGUGAAUAGCAAGUCUUUUUGAUAUAUGUUUUAUGCGAAAUUUAAACACUCAUAUGUUGUCACAUCAUUCUAUUAAAAAAAUUAUAUAAAUUUUCUUGUUAGCACAUUAUUACCCAUACAUUAUUGGAUGAAUUCCAACCAACAUGCAUUUGUUUUUAGAACAUAAAUAAUCAAAUGUGAUGUCCACCCCUAUUACUAGUCAAAUUCAUCUCCCUCUCAUCAAUAGAGAAAGUGAAAAUGAUAUGGUAAUCUUAUUUAUACGAUAAUUUAAAAAUUAAUUAUUUUUUAAUAUAAAAAUAUAUAAUAAUUUAAUAUUUUCUGCUUUGAAAAUUUGUUAUUGUCAGUUUGUAUAGUGGUAAUCUUGCUCAUAUAAUAAUUUAAAAGUUAAUUAUUUCUCAGGUUUCGUUUGAAAUCAGUUUAUUUGAAUUUUUUGAUUGAUUUUUUGCUUAAAAUAAGUAAAACAAUCCAAUCAGAGUUGACUUUUUUGCUUUUUUAUUUUUGUUUAUUUGCUUAUUUUUAUCUAAAGUAAAAUCAAAAAACCAAGAAAACUAAAAAAUCUUUAUUUUUUUGAUAGUAAAUUUAAACAAAACUUGGUUUUUAAGCAUUACCAAAUGACAGCCUCAAUAUGAAAAUCAUAUUGAUAAUUUAUCAUUUUUUGCAUUAAAAAAUAGUUGUUUUCUAUUUGUUUACGUAAGUUUCAUAUUGAAAUUGAUAGGUUGAUAGUUACUCUAAAAUAACUACCCUUAGAAGAAUCCAUUUUAAUUUUCUCUAUUUUUAUUAUUAUACAUAUUCAUAUAAGUGGUUAAAAACUAGUUACAUAUAAUAUAUUUCAAUGAUAAAUAUUUAUUCUGUGAAGAUUUGUAACAAGGUUCUCUAUUUGUUCGCCAAAUAUCUUGCCAUUAUUGACAGUCAGUUCUUGUGUCAAACUUGCCAUGUCAUCAAUCAACAAUAUUUUAAAUUUUUAAUAUUUUUUAUUAUAUAAUAUUUGUGCCAAAAUAGCAUUCAAAGACAUAACACUAGUAAGUCAAAUUUUUAAUAAUAUUAUUGUCAAAAGUGUCUUUUCCUCAAUCAAAUUAUUCCCCGACACCAAUGAGGUUCAAGAAAGCUGAAAAACAAAACAUCUUCCAUAUUAACAAACCUUGGCUAGUAAUUUUCUUUUCUCUAUACACACGUUUAUGUUGGGAAUCAAUCGCACAUUUGAUCUUUGAAUUGUAUAAAUUUUGAAAAUUAUGAAUUACGGAAAUUAUAAAAUAAAAAAAUAUAUAUGCAAGAAACAAAGACAAGAACACGUAGAUAUACGAAGUUUGGUAAAUCGUGCCCACGUUCUUGGGGAGACAUACCAAAUUAUUGUAUUAAAAAAUAGAAAAUAUAUAGUUUUUCUCUCUUAGAAAAAUACCUCACAAACCUCUCGUGAAAUUCUAAAAAUACUUACAAUAUUAUAUUUAAAGGAUUAAAACCGAGAUGCCGAAAAUAUUCUUAAAAUGCUAAGGGCUCGUUUGGCUGGAGGAUAUGGGAGGAGAAUAACUUUUAGAGGAUGGAUAAAUUUUAGAGGGGGAUAACUUUUAAUUU